rnacentral:rRNA from 1 species
GGGCCCGCACAAGCAGUGGAGUAUGUGGUUUAAUUCGAAGCAACGCGAAGAACCUUACCAGGUCUUGACAUCCUUGGAAUCCUCAAGAGAUUGGGGAGUGCCUUUCGGGGAGCCAAGAGACAGGUGGUGCAUGGUUGUCGUCAGCUCGUGUCGUGAGAUGUUGGGUUAAGUCCCGCAACGAGCGCAACCCUUGCCAUUAGUUGCUACGCGCAAGCGAGAACUCUAAUGGGACCGCCGUUGACAAAACGGAGGAAGGUGGGGACGACGUCAAAUCAUCAUGCCCCUUAUGACCUGGGCUACACACGUACUACAAUGGCCGUUAACAGAGGGAAGCGACCCCGCGAGGGUGAGCAAACCCAAAAACGGUCUCAGUUCAGACUGCAGGCUGCAACUCGCCUGCACGAAGUCGGAAUUGCUAGUAAUCGCGAAUCAGCAUGUCG